rnacentral:rRNA from 1 species
UACGUAGGGAGCAAGCGUUGUCCGGAAUCAUUGGGCGUAAAGCGCGCGUUGGUGGCCAUGUAAGUCCGCUGUGAAAGUCAAAGGCUCAACCUUUGAAAGCCGGUGGAUACUGCAUGGCUAGAGUACGGAAGAGGCGAGUGGAAUUCCUGGUGUAGCGGUGGAAUGCGCAGAUAUCAGGAGGAACACCAAUAGCGAAGGCAGCUCGCUGGGACGUUACUGACACUGAGGCGCGAAAGCGUGGGGAGCGAACAGG